GCGCCAGGCUACAAAAAUAAGUACUCAAACGCAAUACUAAAAACUCACCUGAGUAUAAGCCAUCAAUUGUUGAUUCAAGUUCACGAAGUCUGCUAUUGGUGGCAGCUCUUCCAGGGGGCUCUCAAAAAUUUCGACUUUUUGCAACAACCCUGGAGCCUCAACCGCCACACUAGCCCUCACACCUAGCGUAAGGACCAGCUAUUGAGAAAAAGAGGCUCCAACUUCAAAA
rnacentral:lncRNA from 1 species